ACACUUACAGACAACUGGAGAAGAAAAAAACUUCAAGUGUGAGCCUAGAAAAAAAUCUGUUCUUGAAAUAGGACGGUCAAUUUAGGGUUUGUGGGGAAAAGCGAAAAAACGGGAGAGAGAAGUGUGAGAAAUAAAAAAGUGUGAAAAAAGAGAAGAGAGAAUUUGAAAUUGGAAUGGAGAUUGUGUGAUAAUUAAAGUGUGAC
rnacentral:lncRNA from 1 species